rnacentral:rRNA from 1 species
AGGGCGUAUGGUGGAUGCCUUGACAUCGAAAGCCGAUGAAGGACGUAGCAGCCUGCGAUAAGCCGCGGGGAAGUGGCAAGCAACUUGUGAUCCGCGGAUCUCCGAAUGGGAAAACCUAAUCAUGUGAAGCAUGAUUGUCUCGAUGAUGAAUCGAGAAGGGCACCUGGGGAAGUGAAACAUCUCAGUACCCAGAGGAAUAAAAAGCAAUUAGCGAUUCCCUUAGUAGUGGCGAGCGAAACGGGAACAUCUAGUUUUUAUCGCUUUAAGCAUGGAAAUUAGACAAGAGUCUAAACUUUAUGAGAUCUGAAUUUUGUAUUGCCCGCCUUCGGGCGAGGCGGUACAAAACGAAAGGCUGUAGGGCCAAAAUGUUUCGUGAAGAGUCGUGGGGCAAUGACGUUUUAUUACCUAUUAUAAUAAGACAAAAUUAGGGUUUGUAGUUGAACGACCUGGAAAGGCCGACCAUAGAGAGUGAAAGUCUCGUAAAUUAAACAAGCUUAUGAUUUUGUUAGUCAGUGUACCCGAGUAGCACAGGACCCGUGAAAUCUUGUGUGAAUCUAGGUGGACUAUUACCAAAGACUAAAUACUUUCGAUGAUCGAUAGUGAACAAGUACCAUGAGGGAAAGGUGAAAAGUAGCCCGGUGAGGGCGAUGAAAUAGUAUCUGAAACCAUAUGCCAACAAGGAGUCGGAGUCCUUCACUUUGUGAACCUAAAAGUAAAAUUUAUCAGAAAAAUGUAUAGUCAGUUGUAUCACGUCUGAUAAUAAAAAUUUUUAGAUUUAGAAAGUGAGGGAUGACGGCGUUCCUAUUGAAGAAUGAACCCGCGAGUUUAUGUGUACUGCAAGUCUAAUCCCGAGUAUCGGGAGAAGGCGUAGUGAAAGCGAGGGUGAAUAGCCCGUUUUAGCAGUCCGUAUAAGACCCGAAGCCCGGUGAUCUACUCAUGGACAGGGUGAAGCUGUGAGAAUAUCGCAGUGGAGGCCCGAACCCAUAAGUUGUGCAACACUUUGGGAUGAUCCGUGAGUGGGAGUGAAAAGCUAAUCGAACCGGGGGAUAGCUGGUUCUCCUCGAAAUAGUUUUAGGACUAGCCUUGUUAUGGCCGUCGACGGUAGAGCACUGAAUGGAUUAAGGUGGAGCAAUCUACUUAAUUCAACCAAACUCCGAAUGUCGAACCGGCUAAAUAACAGGAGUCAGACGAUGGGGGCUAAGCUCCAUUCGUCAAAAGGGGUACAGCCCAGAUCUCAAUCUAAGGCCCCUAAAUCUACGUUAAGUGUUAAAGGUAGUGUCGCGACUGCGACAACCAGGAGGUUGGCUUAGAAGCAGCNNAAGAAAGCGUAAUAGCUCACUGGUCAAGUUGUUUCGCGCCGAAAAUUUAUUGGGGCUAAACGUAGUGCCGAAGAUGAGGACUUCGAUGUUUAAUCGAAGUGGUAGAGGAGCGUUCUGUGCGUGUUGAAGUCAUGCCGUAAGGCCUGGUGGAGUGCACAGAAGUGAGAAUGCGGGUAUAAGUAGCAAAAAGAUCGGUGAGAAUCCGAUCCACCGUAAACCCAAGGUUUCCUGGGCAACGAUGAUCAACCCAGGGUUAGGCGAUCCUAAGGCCGUACCGAAAGGGAAAGCUGAUGGACAAGCCGUUAAUAUUCGGCUCCCACAAUUAACAUCUGAUGGGGUGACGUUUUUUCUUACUCUGAGCAUGUUCUGACUAUACAUGUCUAAAUGGCGAGUUGGUCUGUUAGGCAAAUCCGGCAGAUAAAUGCUUGCUAUGAAUGAAAUCCUCGCAAGGGGUGAUUCAGGGGUCGAGAGAAUCAAGAAAAACCUCUAUGGUUAAGUUAAUUGUGAUCGUACCGUAAACCGACACAGGUGGGUAGGCAUAAGUGUGCUAAGGUGUACGAGAGAACCUUCGUUAAGGAACUAGGCAAAAAAGCGUUUGUAACUUCGGAAUAAAAACUGCCUGAUUUUUGAGAUUAUAUCAAAAAGAAUUGGGCCGCAGCUAAAGUCUUUCAACCGACUGUUUACCAAAAACACAGGUCCCUGCUCAAAGCGCAAGCUGAGGUAUAGGGGCUGAUGCCUGGCCAGUGUCAGAACGUUAAGAGGAGAGGUGAUUUCCGAUUUAUCGGAACGUAGCUUUGAAUCUAAGCGCUGAUGAACGCCGGCGAUAACUAUAAUCGUCCUAAGGUAGCGUAAUCCCUUGUCGGGUAAGNNCCGACCUGCACGAAUGGCAUAACGAGUUGAAAACUGUCUCAACGAAGGACUCGGCGAAAUUGCAGUGGGAGUGAAGAUGCUCUCUAUCCAUGGUUAGACGAAAAGACCCCAUGAAGCUUUACUACAACUUGAUAUUGGAUUAGGAACAGAUCUGUUCAGUGUAGGUGGGAGAUCCGACGUAAGUCGGAUCGCCAAUGAGACACCACCCUGAUUUUUUCUUAAUUCUUACUCCGGCGUAAUUGCCGGGGAACAGUGUCUGGCGGGUAGUUUAACUGGGGCGGUUGCCUCCUAAAAUGUAACGGAGGCGUUUAUUAAGGUCGGCUUGGCGCGGAUGGAAACCGCGCUGGACGUGUAAAGGCAUAAGCCGGCUUAACUGCAAGACCUACAAGUCGCGCAGAAAGGAAACUUUAACUUAGUGAACCGACAUUUGCUCAUAGGAGCAAUGAAGAUCAACGGAUAAAAGCUACUCUGGGGAUAACAGGCUGAUCUCGCCCGAGCGUCCAUAGCGACGGCGAGGUUUGGCACCUCGAUGUCGGCUCAU